GAUGAACGCUAGCGGGAGGCCUAACACAUGCAAGCCGAGCGGUAGGGUUUUUUCGGAGUCUUGAGAGCGGCUCACGGGUGCGUAACACGUGUGCAACCUACCUUUACUUGGGGGAUAGCUUUUCGAAAGGAACUUUAAUACCCCAUAAUUUAAUGAUUGGCAUCAAUGAUGAUGGAAAACUCGGUUGGAUGGAGAGGGGCACGCGCACGAUUAGACAGUUGGUGAGGUAACGGCUCACCAAGUAAAGGAUCUUUAGGGGUCCUGAGAGGGAGAUCCCCCACACGGGUACUGAGACACGGGCCAGACUGCUACGGGAGGCAGCAGUGAGGGAUAUUGGAGAAUGGGAGAGAGCCUGAUCCAGCCAUCCCGCGUGAAGGAUGGCGGUCCUAUGGAUUGUAAACUUCUUUUGGAAAGGGAUAAACCUACUCUCGUGAGGGUAGCUGAAGGUAAUGUACGAAUAAGCACCGGCUAACUCCGUG
rnacentral:rRNA from 1 species